rfam:Nematostella vectensis strain CH2 x CH6 NEMVEscaffold_161_Cont16368, whole genome shotgun sequence.
GGGGAUGUAGCUCAGUGGUAGAGCGUCCGCUUUGCAUUCGGAAGGUCCUUUGUUCGAUCCCCCGCAUCUCCA